rnacentral:rRNA from 4 species
CCCUGUGAGGGGAGUGAAAUAGAACCUGAAACCGUGUACGUACAAGCAGUAGGAGCACCUUCGUGGUGUGACUGCGUACCUUUUGUAUAAUGGGUCAGCGACUUAUAUUCAGUGGCAAGGUUAACCGUAUAGGGGAGCCGUAGCGAAAGCGAGUCUUAACUGGGCGCUCAGUCUCUGGAUAUAGACCCGAAACCGGGUGAUCUAGCCAUGGGCAGGUUGAAGGUUGAGUAACAUCAACUGGAGGACCGAACCGACUAAUGUUGAAAAAUUAGCGGAUGACUUGUGGCUAGGGGUGAAAGGCCAAUCAAACUCGGAGAUAGCUGGUUCUCCCCGAAAGCUAUUUAGGUAGCGCCUCGGACGAAUACUACUGGGGGUAGAGCACUGUUAAGGCUAGGGGGUCAUCCCGACUUACCAACCCUUUGCAAACUCCGAAUACCAGUAAGUACUAUCCGGGAGACACACGGCGGGUGCUAACGUCCGUCGUGGAGAGGGAAACAACCCAGACCGCCAGCUAAGGUCCCAAAGUAUUGCUAAGUGGGAAACGAUGUGGGAAGGCUCAGACAGCUAGGAUGUUGGCUUAGAAGCAGCCAUCAUUUAAAGAAAGCGUAAUAGCUCACUAGUCGAGUCGGCCUGCGCGGAAGAUGUAACGGGGCUAAGCAAUACACCGAAGCUGCGGCAAUGUCUUUUAGACAUUGGGUAGGGGAGCGUUCUGUAAGCCGUUGAAGGUGAAUCGUAAGGUUUGCUGGAGGUAUCAGAAGUGCGAAUGCUGACAUGAGUAACGACAAAGGGGGUGAAAAACCUCCUCGCCGGAAGACCAAGGGUUCCUGUCCAACGUUAAUCGGGGCAGGGUGAGUCGACCCCUAAGGUGAGGCCGAAAGGCGUAAUCGAUGGGAAACGGGUUAAUAUUCCCGUACUUCUGACUAUUGCGAUGGGGGGACGGAGAAGGCUAGGUGGGCCAGGCGACGGUUGUCCUGGUUCAAGUGCGUAGGCUUGAGAGUUAGGUAAAUCCGGCUCUCUCUAAGGCUGAGACACGACGUCGAGCUACUACGGUAGUGAAGUCAUUGAUGCCAUGCUUCCAGGAAAAGCCUCUAAGCUUCAGAUAGUCAGGAAUCGUACCCCAAACCGACACAGGUGGUCGGGUAGAGAAUACCAAGGCGCUUGAGAGAACUCGGGUGAAGGAACUAGGCAAAAUGGUACCGUAACUUCGGGAGAAGGUACGCUCUUGAUGGUGAAGUCCCUCGCGGAUGGAGCUGACGAGAGUCGCAGAUACCAGGUGGCUGCAACUGUUUAUUAAAAACACAGCACUGUGCAAAAUCGCAAGAUGACGUAUACGGUGUGACGCCUGCCCGGUGCCGGAAGGUUAAUUGAUGGGGUUAGCGCAAGCGAAGCUCUUGAUCGAAGCCCCGGUAAACGGCGGCCGUAACUAUAACGGUCCUAAGGUAGCGAAAUUCCUUGUCGGGUAAGUUCCGACCUGCACGAAUGGCGUAAUGAUGGCCACGCUGUCUCCACCCGAGACUCAGUGAAAUUGAAAUCGCUGUGAAGAUGCAGUGUACCCGCGGCUAGACGGAAAGACCCCGUGAACCUUUACUACAGCUUGGCACUGAACAUUGAACCUACAUGUGUAGGAUAGGUGGGAGGCUAUGAAGACGUGACGCCAGUUGCGUUGGAGCCGUCCUUGAAAUACCACCCUUGUAUGUUUGAUGUUCUAACUUAGACCCAUUAUCUGGGUUGAGGACAGUGCCUGGUGGGUAGUUUGACUGGGGCGGUCUCCUCCCAAAGAGUAACGGAGGAGCACGAAGGUGGGCUAAUCACGGUUGGACAUCGUGAGGUUAGUGCAAUGGCAUAAGCCCGCUUAACUGCGAGAAUGACGGUUCGAGCAGGUGCGAAAGCAGGUCAUAGUGAUCCGGUGGUUCUGUAUGGAAGGGCCAUCGCUCAACGGAUAAAAGGUACUCCGGGGAUAACAGGCUGAUACCGCCCAAGAGUUCAUAUCGACGGCGGUGUUUGGCACCUCGAUGUCGGCUCAUCACAUCCUGGGGCUGAAGUCGGUCCCAAGGGUAUGGCUGUUCGCCAUUUAAAGUGGUACGCGAGCUGGGUUUAGAACGUCGUGAGACAGUUCGGUCCCUAUCUGCCGUGGGCGUUGGAAGAUUGAAGGGGGCUGCUCCUAGUACGAGAGGACCGGAGUGGACGAACCUCUGGUGUUCGGGUUGUGUCGCCAGACGCAUUGCCCGGUAGCUAAGUUCGGAAUUGAUAAGCGCUGAAAGCAUCUAAGCGCGAAGCGAGCCCUGAGAUGAGUCUUCCCUGACAGUUUAACUGUCCUAAAGGGUUGUUCGAGACUAGAACGUUGAUAGGCAGGGUGUGUAAGCGUUGUGAGGCGUUGAGCUAACCUGUACUAAUUGCCCGUGAGGCUUAACCAU